rnacentral:rRNA from 1 species
AGUGAACGCUGGCGGCAGGCCUAACACAUGCAAGUCGAGCGGCAGCGCGUCCGACCACCCUCGGGUGGUCGGAUGGCGGCGAGCGGCGGACGGGUGAGGAAUGCAUCGGAAUCUGCCUCGUUGUGGGGGAUAACGUAGGGAAACUUACGCUAAUACCGCAUACGACCUACGGGUGAAAGUGGGGGACCUUCGGGCCUCACGCGAUGAGAUGAGCCGAUGCCGGAUUAGCUAGUUGGCGGGGGUAAAGGCCCACCAAGGCGACGAUCCGUAGCUGGUCUGAGAGGAUGAUCAGCCACACUGGAACUGAGACACGGUCCAGACUCCUACGGGAGGCAGCAGUGGGGAAUAUUGGACAAUGGGGGCAACCCUGAUCCAGCCAUGCCGCGUGUGUGAAGAAGGCC